AAUUAAAAAAACCCUACCAAUUUCUUUUCAUCAGACUGCUUAACAUUUUCUCUCUCUAAACCAAAAAAAAAAAAAACAAGCGAUGCUGCGAUACAGAGAAAGGGAAGGAUAAAAAAAAAAGAGGCUUGCAAUCCAGUGGAGAAUUGUGCGAUUAAACGUUUGUCUCAAAGGUAUUGAGAUAUGGAAAUAGGGAUCGGUCGUUAGGGUCGCCGCCCAUAUGUUCUGUUUUUAGUUUUAGAAAGUAGGGUUUUUGUCGGGAGAUUCAUUUGGGUAUUAUUUAUGAUUCAGGGAUUUGAGAUACGGAGAUAGAGGUCGGCGCAACUCUGUAGCCAAUGUAAUUGGAACUAAACACAGACCGAUGAAAGUGGGUAUUCUUUGCUUAGUGAUCCCCAGUACAACAAAGGACUUACCAAUGCUUUGGUCAUUCAGUUGACUCCUUACUACCAGUCUGUACUUAUUGUCAUGCUAGCAAAAACAGGGGUUUCAGCGGUUUUAACUAUUAUUGGAUUUGAACCAAUGACUUACUGCUUACUAUUCAAGGGGAGGCGGAGCGCUAACAAAGAGAAAGCAUUAUCACUAUUUGAAACUGUUUUCCAUCCUACCUGAUCUGCUGCUUUUGAAGAGUGAUUGAAAUUGUAAAACUUUGAAAUCUGAAAGUGUAAUGUAUUUUGUUGUUGUAACUUUAUAGUUGCUGGUGGGUGAAUUUUCAUUUAUAAAACAAUGAAUGUGAUUGCUAUUAAAUUGACAGAAAUUGCAUGUAAUUCAUUUAGUAGAUCACGUUUGGUUGGA